GUCGAGAAUCAUUCACAAUGGGGGAAACCCUGAUGGUGUGACGCCGCGUGGAGGAUGAAGGUCUUCGGAUUGUAAACUCCUGUCAUGUGGGAGUAAAGCCGGGUGUUAAAUGCAUGCCGGUCUGAGAGUACCACAAGAGGAAGGGACGGCUAACUCUGUGCCAGCAGCCGCGGUAAUACAGAGGUCCCAAGCGUUGUUCGGAAUCACUGGGCGUAAAGGGUGCGUAGGCGGCGCGGAAAGUCAGGGGUGAAAUCCCGGAGCUCAACUCCGGAGCUGCCUUUGAUACUCCCGCGCUUGAGAACUGGAGGGGAGACCGGAAGUCACGGUGGAGCAGUGAAAUGCGUGGAUAUCGUGAGGAACACUAGUGGCGAAGGCGGGUCUCUGGACAGUAUCUGACGCUGAGGCAUGAAGGCCAGGGGAGCGAACGGGAUUAGAUACCCUGGUAGUCC
rnacentral:rRNA from 1 species